rnacentral:rRNA from 1 species
CCUACGGGUGGCAGCAGUAGGGAAUAUUGCUCAAUGGGGGAAACCCUGAAGCAGCAACGCCGCGUGGAGGAUGAAGGCUCUCCGAUUGUUAACCCCCUUUGUUAGAGAAGAUAAUGACCGUACCUAACGAAUAAGCACCGGCUAACUCCGAGCCAGCAGCCGCGGUAAUACGGAGGGUGCAAGCGUUACUCGGAAUCACUGGGCGUAAAGAGCGCGUAGGCGGGAUAGCAAGUCAGAUGUGAAAUCCUAUGGCUUAACCAUAGAACUGCAUUUGAAACUGUUAUUCUAGAGUAUGGGAGAGGUAGGUGGAAUUCGUGGUGUAGGGGUAAAAUGCGUAGAGAUCAAGAAGAAUACUGAUUGCGAAGGCGACCUGCUAGAACAUAACUGACGCUGAUGCGCGAAAGCGUGGGGAGCAAACAGGAUUAGAUACCCGAGUAGUC